rnacentral:rRNA from 1 species
CUAUGGCCAUACUACCCUCAAUGCACCCGAUCUCAUCUGAUCUCAGAAGCUAAGCAGGGUCGGGCCUGAUUAGCACUUGGAUGGGAGGAAAUAGAAAAUAUAAGGAAAAAAUAAAAAUAAGUGGUAGCUCCAUAGU